GGGAGAGAGAGAGAGGGAGAGAGACCGAGAGAGAGAGAACUGGUGUGGUGUAGGUGACUGACUGCCCGAAAUUUCUCAGUCAGGUAUCGGGCAGGGUCAGGUAUCGGGCGGGACGGGCAGGGUCCUUCUCAGCAUAAAAAUUAAAAAGAUCGGGGGUUUGGGCAGCCCGCAAGAGAUAGUAAGGACAAGAUAAUAUUUGGGUUUUAUUUAUAUUUAAAAUGUUAAUGAUUAUGAUUUAUUAAUUACCACUAUCUUUUUUUCUCUUUAAUUUAUUGAGCCCAUCGCUUUU
rnacentral:misc_RNA from 1 species